rnacentral:rRNA from 1 species
UACGGAGGGUGCGAGCGUUGUCCGGAAUCACUGGGCGUAAAGGGCGCGUAGGCGGCUCAUGAAGGCUGCGGUGAAAGUCCGGGGCUCAACCUCGGAUCGGCCGUGGCGACUCGUGGGCUGGAGCACUGUAGAGGCGGGUGGAAUUCCGGGUGUAGCGGUGGAAUGCGUAGAGAUCCGGAAGAACACCAGUGGCGAAGGCGGCCCGCUGGGCAGUGGCUGACGCUGAAGCGCGAAGGCCAGGGGAGCAAACGGG